rnacentral:rRNA from 1 species
GAUGAACGCUGGCGGCGUGCUUAACACAUGCAAGUCGAACGGAAAGGCCCUGAGUUUGUGGGGUGCUCGAGUGGCGAACGGGUGAGUAACACGUGAGUAACCUGCCCUUGUCUUUGGGAUAACUUCAGGAAACUGGGGCUAAUACCGGAUAGGAGCUCCUGCUGCAUGGUGGGGGUUGGAAAGUUUCGGCGGUUGGGGAUGGACUCGCGGCUUAUCAGCUUGUUGGUGGGGUAGUGGCUUACCAAGGCUUUGACGGGUAGCCGGCCUGAGAGGGUGACCGGCCACCAUGGGACUGCGGGACGGCCCAGACGCCUACGGGAGGCAACAGUGGGGAAUAUUGCACAAUGGGCGGAAGCCUGAUGCAGCAACGCCGCGUGCGGGAUGACGGCCUUCUGGUUGUAAACCGCUUUCGCCUGUGACGAAGCGUGAGUGACGGUAAUGGAUAAAGAAGCACCGGCUAACUACGUG